rnacentral:lncRNA from 1 species
CCGGUGAGGCUGGGAGGGAUCGGGCAGCCAGGAUCCGAGGGAGGGACCCGGAUGGAGCCCCACCUCCUGUCCCGCACCCCUCCGCAGGUACCCGCGAGUGAUGGCCGAGGAGGGCCUUCGGGUGGUGAGGCAGUGGCUGGAGGCCUCGUCCCAGCUGGAGGAAGGUGAGACCCCGGGAGGCCUGUAGGGGCGGCGCCUGGCAAGGCCGGCUGCUGAGAGCUGUCUCUGCCCCAGCAGCCUCGGUUUACAGCCGCUGGGAGGUGGAGGAGGACUGGUGCCUGUCCGUGCUCCGCUCGUACCAGGCAGAACACGGGCCUGACUUCCCCUGGAGCGUGGGUAAGGGGGUCCUGGGCAGGCGCGGCGGGAGGCGCCCAGGAAGGGGCCCGUGGCCCCCGUUGAGCGGCUCCUCUCUGCAGGGGAGGACAUGAAGGCCGAGGGACGCCAGCAGCUGGCCUUGUUUCUGGCUCGGAAGCAUCUGCACAACUUUGAGGCCACACACUGCACCCCACUCCCAGCCCAGAACUUCCAGAUGCCCUGGCACCUGUAGGGACCGCACCCGCUCGGUCUGGAAGGAGAGGGCGGGAGGAGGCGUGUGAGGCGCUCUCUUCGCGUUGCCCUUGAGUGUGGACAGCGGGCACCCACCUCACUGCCCUCCUGCACGUCCUCCCGCAGCCCCAGGCAGGACCUAACCUUCCCCGACACGCCCCUGCAUUACGUGAUCGCGUUAUUCCUAGUCAUUAAUAAAAAGGUAUUUUUUCUACUGUCUGUCUAAUUGUGAGUUCCCAGGGGUCCAGCGAUCAAGGCGGCUGGUAGCGAGGACAGCAGAGGCCCCGAAGGCCCAGGCUUGGGAACCAACUCCAGACCGCCAGUGUCACCUCCAGGCCUGCGCGUUCCCAGCCGCCUGCCUAGCCGCCCUGUGCACAUCCCAGCCAGACUGCCCCUCUUGCUCAGAACUCUUCUGCUCUGGUUGACAGAGUGCUUCUCAGUGCUGAUUUCACCUGCUCAGCACCUCUAUAGGUUUCUGGGGUCAGCCUGCAGUAGCCCCUCUCCCAGUGCCCCCAGUUUUCCUUGCUCAGCUUUGCUGACCCCGGGAGUGAGGAGCCCACACCUGCAUCUUGUGCAGCGCUCCCUGCCUGGCCUGCCCACUCCCUUCAGCAUUCAACACACUCGGGCUACCGGGGCGGGGGCCGGGGCCUCCUGUCCUCCCAGAGCCAUGCUUGGCUUUGCAGCCCCCGUUAGAAGGAAACUUAGGCUGAACCUGAGGAAACUGGUUUCCAUAACUCCUAUUUCUAAUCCUUGCAUCUUGAACAGAACGAGUCCACAUCCCACCCCUCAGUUUGUUGCCGGGCCAUCUUCUUCCAUUGGAAACCUCUUUUCCAGGUAUCCUUUGACGGAAGAGGGACACUCUGCAUGGAUGGCGUCCACUGCUACUGUCACCAUGGCGACUGUGGCAACGCCCCUUCCUAGGAAAGCCUCCGUGGAAACUGUCUCCAAGGAAACGCACUAGAGCUCCCAGGCUAACGUCGGAGGCCCCGCCCCGCCGGAGGCCCCGCCCCAUCCUGACUCUUCCUUUCGGCCGCGCGCGGCGUGGGCGCGGGAACGCUCCUUGAGUCUGGGGCGGGCUCCGGGAGCCCAGCUCUACCUGGCCCUGGUCCUUGGCCCUCCCCUCCAGAGCCACCCGCUCUCAGUUCUGUCCCUCACUCGGCGCGCUCCGAUAUUCCACAGACCUCGGAACACGUGGCGGCCCCGCGCCCCGCUCGCCACCACUCUGACUUUCUCUAAAUUUCUCAGCCUCCU